rnacentral:rRNA from 1 species
GAGUUUGAUCCUGGCUCAGGACGAACGCUGGCGGCGCGCCUAACACAUGCAAGUCGAACGAGCGAGAGAGAGCUUGCUUUCUCAAGCGAGUGGCGAACGGGUGAGUAACGCGUGAGGAACCUGCCUCAAAGAGGGGGACAACAGUUGGAAACGACUGCUAAUACCGCAUAAGCCCACAGCUCGGCAUCGAGCAGAGGGAAAAGGAGCAAUCCGCUUUGAGAUGGCCUCGCGUCCGAUUAGCUAGUUGGUGGGGUAAUGGCCCACCAAGGCGACGAUCGGUAGCCGGACUGAGAGGUUGAACGGCCACAUUGGGACUGAGACACGGCCCAGACUCCUACGGGAGGCAGCAGUGGGGAAUAUUGCACAAUGGGGGAAACCCUGAUGCAGCGACGCCGCGUGGAGGAAGAAGGUCUUCGGAUUGUAAACUCCUGUUGUUGAGGGAGAUAAUGACGGUACUCAACAAGGAAGUGACGGCUAACUACGUGCCAGCAGCCGCGGUAAAACGUAGGUCACAAGCGUUGUCCGGAAUUACUGGGCGUAAAGGGAGCGCAGGCGGGAAGACAAGUUGGAAGUGAAAUCUAUGGGCUCAACCCAUAAACUGCUCUCAAAACUGUUUUUCUUGAGUAGUGCAGAGGUAGGCGGAAUUCCCGGUGUAGCGGUGGAAUGCGUAGAUAUCGGGAGGAACACCAGUGGCGAAGGCGGCCUACUGGGCACCACUGACGCUGAGGCUCGAAAGUGUGGGUAGCAAACAGGAUUAGAUACCCUGGUAGUCCACACCGUAAACGAUGAUUACUAGGUGUUGGAGGAUUGACCCCUUCAGUGCCGCAGUUAACACAAUAAGUAAUCCACCUGGGGAGUACGACCGCAAGGUUGAAACUCAAAGGAAUAGACGGGGGCCCGCACAAGCAGUGGAGUAUGUGGUUUAAUUCGACGCAACGCGAAGAGCCUUACCAAGUCUUGACAUCCUGCGACGGACAUAGAAAUAUGUCUUUCCUUCGGGACGCAGAGACAGGUGGUGCAUGGUUGUCGUCAGCUCGUGUCGUGAGAUGUUGGGUUAAGUCCCGCAACGAGCGCAACCCUUACUGUCAGUUACUACGCAAGAGGACUCUGGCAGGACUGCCGUUGACAAAACGGAGGAAGGUGGGGAUGACGUCAAAUCAUCAUGCCCUUUAUGACUUGGGCUACACACGUACUACAAUGGCGUUAAACAAAGAGAAGCAAGACCGCGAGGUGGAGCAAAACUCAGAAACAACGUCCCAGUUCGGACUGCAGGCUGCAACUCGCCUGCACGAAGUCGGAAUUGCUAGUAAUCGUGGAUCAGCAUGCCACGGUGAAUACGUUCCCGGGCCUUGUACACACCGCCCGUC